rnacentral:rRNA from 1 species
AUGAACGCUAGCUACAGGCUUAACACAUGCAAGUCGAGGGGCAGCAUGAACUUAGCUUGCUAAGUUUGAUGGCGACCGGCGCACGGGUGAGUAACACGUAUCCAACCUGCCGAUGACUCGGGGAUAGCCUUUCGAAAGAAAGAUUAAUACCCGAUGGCAUAGUUCUUCCGCAUGGUGGAACUAUUAAAGAAUUUCGGUCAUCGAUGGGGAUGCGUUCCAUUAGGUUGUUGGCGGGGUAACGGCCCACCAAGCCUUCGAUGGAUAGGGGUUCUGAGAGGAAGGUCCCCCACAUUGGAACUGAGACACGGUCCAAACUCCUACGGGAGGCAGCAGUGAGGAAUAUUGGUCAAUGGACGAGAGUCUGAACCAGCCAAGUAGCGUGAAGGAUGACUGCCCUAUGGGUUGUAAACUUCUUUUAUACGGGAAUAAAGUGAGGCACGCGUGCCUUUUUGUAUGUACCGUAUGAAUAAGGAUCGGCUAACUCCGUGCCAGCAGCCGCGGUAAUACGGAGGAUCCGAGCGUUAUCCGGAUUUAUUGGGUUUAAAGGGAGCGUAGGCGGACGCUUAAGUCAGUUGUGAAAGUUUGCGGCUCAACCGUAAAAUUGCAGUUGAUACUGGGUGUCUUGAGUACAGUAGAGGCAGGCGGAAUUCGUGGUGUAGCGGUGAAAUGCUUAGAUAUCACGAAGAACUCCGAUUGCGAAGGCAGCCUGCUGGACUGUAACUGACGCUGAUGCUCGAAAGUGUGGGUAUCAAACAGGAUUAGAUACCCUGGUAGUCCACGCUGUAAACGAUGAUUACUAGGUGUGGGGGGAUUGGCCCCUUCCGUGCCGCAGUUAACACAAUAAGUAAUCCACCUGGGGAGUACGACCGCAAGGUUGAAACUCAAAGGAAUUGACGGGGGCCCGCACAAGCGGUGGAGCAUGUGGUUUAAUUCGAUGCAACGCGAAGAACCUUACCAAGUCUUGACAUCCCUUGACGAACAUAGAAAUAUGUUUUCUCUUCGGAGCAAGGAGACAGGUGGUGCAUGGUUGUCGUCAGCUCGUGCCGUGAGGUGUCGGCUUAAGUGCCAUAACGAGCGCAACCCUUAUCGAUAGUUACCAUCAGGUUAUGCUGGGGACUCUGUCGAGACUGCCGUCGUAAGAUGUGAGGAAGGUGGGGAUGACGUCAAAUCAGCACGGCCCUUACGUCCGGGGCUACACACGUGUUACAAUGGGGGGUACAGAAGGCAGCUACACGGCGACGUGAUGCUAAUCCCGAAAGCCUCUCUCAGUUCGGAUUGGAGUCUGCAACCCGACUCCAUGAAGCUGGAUUCGCUAGUAAUCGCGCAUCAGCCACGGCGCGGUGAAUACGUUCCCGGGCCUUGUACACACCGCCCGUCAAGCCAUGAAAGCCGGGGGUACCUGAAGUGCGUAACCGCGAGGAGCGCCCUAGGGUAAAACUGGUGAUUGGGGCU